CCAUCUACAAGCUCUUGUGAGUAGGAAAUAAGCCGGAAUCCAGAGUGGACAGCCAUACUGUUUACAACUGGUCUUGGAAUUCAAGAAUAAUUAGGCCAAUAUCAAUAUCCAAGAACAGCUUCACUCAACUCCAGAACCCUGUUUAACAGUACAGGUCCUACCAAUAACCAAGCUUAGUCCGGCGGUGGGCUUUGUUUUUCUUUUGUAUUUUUUUAGUUUCUGUGAGAAAUGAUCGGUUUAUGGACCUCCUCCGCCUGUGUCUGGGGAUGGGCAAAAUGGCCAGCGUCGGCGGUGAUAAAUGCGAUGGCCGGCAGCUUCUUAGGACAAUAGAAACAUAAAAGAGAGAAAGAGAGUAGGUUUGGCGGUGGACAGAGGAGAGGUGAUUAGGGCUGCAG
rnacentral:misc_RNA from 1 species